rnacentral:rRNA from 1 species
AUUGAACGCUGGCGGCAUGCCUUACACAUGCGAGUCGAACGGUAACGGGCCUUCGGGUGCCGACGAGUGGCGAACGGGUGAGUAAUACAUCGGAACGUGCCCGAUCGUGGGGGAUAACGAGGCGAAAGCUUUGCUAAUACCGCAUACGAUCUACGGAUGAAAGCAGGGGACCGCAAGGCCUUGCGCGGACGGAGCGGCCGAUGGCAGAUUAGGUAGUUGGUGGGAUAAAAGCUUACCAAGCCGACGAUCUGUAGCUGGUCUGAGAGGAUGAUCAGCCACACUGGGACUGAGACACGGCCCAGACUCCUACGGGAGGCAGCAGUGGGGAAUUUUGGACAAAGGGCGCAAGCCUGAUCCAGCCAUGCCGCGUGCAGGAUGAAGGCCUUCGGGUUGUAAACUGCUUUUGUACGGAACGAAAAGCCUUCUUUUAAUACAGGAGGGUCAUGACGGUACCGUAAGAAUAAGCACCGGCUAACUACGUG